GAGAGUGAAGUAUUUGUGUACAGCUUAGUUACAUUAAGCAAGACCAUUAAUUGGCGCUCUUU
rnacentral:tRNA from 1 species